rnacentral:rRNA from 1 species
AUUGAACGCUGGCGGCAGGCCUAACACAUGCAAGUCGAGCGGAUGAGGGGAGCUUGCUCCGGGUUCCAGCGGCGGACGGGGGAGAAAUGCCUGGGAAUCUCCUGGUUGUUGGGGGAUAACGUCCGGAAACGGGCGCUAAUACCGCAUACUCCCUGGGGGAGAAAGUGGGGAUCUUUUGAACUCACGCUAUCAGAUGAGCCUAGGUCGGAUUAGCUAGGUGGUGGGGUAAAGGCCUACCAAGGCGACGAUCCGUAACUGGUCUGAGAGGAUGAUCAGUCACACUGGAACUGAGACACGGUCCAGACUCCUACGGGAGGCAGCAGUGGGGAAUAUUGGACAAUGGGCGAAAGCCUGAUCCAGCCAUGCCGCGUGUGUGAAGAAGGUCUUCGGAUUGUAAAGCACUUUAAGUUGGGAGGAAGGGCAGUAAGUUAAUACCUUGCUGUUUUGACGUUACCAACAGAAUAAGCACCGGCUAACUUCGUG